UUAUUUAAUCAGAAUAUACUUAUACUUUUAAAUCCACACAAACCAGCCAAAUUUAACUCCUUGCAACUGACUGCAUAACACUCUCACUUUUCAAAAUUCAUUCAAUUCCCAAUGGAAAAAAAAAUAAAACAAGUGAAAAAAAUUUUUUAAAGUUGUAAAUAAAACCAAUAUUAUUAGAGUACAUUUUACAAGAAAAAGCUAUUUCAGUCUUUCUACUUCAAAAUGUCACAUUUUACUAAAUGUGUUGAUUUCAUUCUGUUUCUUUGUACUUGUUUGUGAAGUUUACCAGCAAUUUUUGAGUGAAAAUAGCUUAAAAGUAAACCCACACCAUUUUUUUUUUCAGUGUACAUGGUUGUGAAUGUACUUCCAUGUUGACCGUACCAGAUGGUAAAGCGGCAAAAUAGAUACAUAGCAAGGACAAAACCAUGAUCUGCAGCUGCAUAAGACCCAGCAUAUCUAAAGCUGACCUCAAACAGAGCAGGCAUCUGUGUUUGUGAUGCAGCGGGAGACUUUUUUCAAAGAGACAACAUCUGAUAACAUCUGCAGGGCCAGAGGCUCUCUCUCAUGAUUGAGAAGGGAGAGAGAGAGAGAGAGAGAGAGAGAGAGAGAGAGAGAGAGAGCUAGAAAGAAAAAAGGAGAGAGAGAGAGAGACAGGAUGCAACACUGGGCGCUGAGAAACACAAGUGCACUAAAAGGACAAGAGAAGAGUUCAUAACCAAAGCUCCAGAUAACAAGUGAGUUUUUCCCCCCAGACCAAAACGUUAAAAACUUUCCUCUGUAAUUUAGCAGACUAAUUAAAUCAAAGCUUUUAAUGUACCUUUUAGCCAAGACACUACAUUAAAUAAUUAGUCAUAAAAAGACCUUCAAAACACAUUUAGUGUUAUCGUUUAAGUCAAGGACUGAUUUAAUUGAUUCAUGCAGUCUCUCUUCCAUCAGAUUUACUCAAAUUAAACGAAUUCUCUCAGAGAAUCAAAUCGACGCACAAAGUUAAAAUACAUUUUAUAUACAGCUUGCAGUACACAGUGGCAAGUGCUGCACGAUAUCUGAUCAGAUAACAAAUCACAGAGUCAUUUAAUUGACCCCAGAACAUCUCUGGCGAUUGUGGUCAAUUCGAACAAAUUGAAAUUUUUGCUGUUGCUGCAUGGGUGCGUGCACAGAAGCUCAGGGCUGGCUUUGUUCAGCAGAUCUCCUCUGAUCACUCUGUUUGUUCAGUGGUGUCUUCACUCAUUGUGUUCCCACGUCGAAGCCCCUUUUAAAGCCUCAUCCAGUCGCCAUGCACUGAAUGUACAAGCCAGCAACCACACUUUGCACACCGGGGUUAAAAAGGUCAGACAUCUUGCUCUGCUUCACUGGACGGGCUCUGAAAGUGUUUAACUUAGUCAUGCAAAAUAACCUACAGCUGCAAAAAAGGUUACAUUAUGUAUUGUUCUGAUUAUGUUUGAUGAGAAAAUUAAAUGCUUAUCACAUUUGUUUCUCAUAUGGAAAAUUACUGAGUGUACAAUGUGUUAUGAUGUCUUGAUUGGAUUUAAGUUUUAAAGGAUUAGUUCACUUCAGAAUGAAAAUUUCCUGAUAAUUUACUCACCCCCAUGUCAUCCA